rnacentral:rRNA from 1 species
UACGUAGGCAGCAAACGUUGUUCGGAAUUACUGGGCGUAAAGAGUGUGUAGGCGGUUCUGUAAGUUUGGUGUGAAAUCUCCCCGGCUUAACUGGGAGGGUGCGCCGAAAACUGCAAGGCUUGAGUGCUGGAGAGGAUAGCGGAAUUCCUGGUGUAGCGGUGAAAUGCGUAGAUAUCAGGAGGAACACCGGCGGUGUAGACGGCUAUCUGGACAGCAACUGACGCUGAGACACGAAAGCGUGGGGAGCAAACAGG